rnacentral:rRNA from 1 species
UACACUCCUGCGGGAGGCAGCAGUGGGGAAUUUUGGACAAUGGGCGAAAGCCUGAUCCAGCAAUGCCGCGUGAGUGAAGAAGGCCUUCGGGUUGUAAAGCUCUUUUGUCAGGGAAGAAACGGUGAAAGCUAAUAUCUUUUGCUAAUGACGGUACCUGAGGAAUAAGCACCGGCUAACUACGUGCCAGCAGCCGCGGUAAUACGUAGGGUGCAAGCGUUAAUCGGAAUUACUGGGCGUAAAGCGUGCGCAGGCGGUUUUGUAAGUCUGAUGUGAAAUCCCCGGGCUCAACCUGGGAAUUGCAUUGGAGACUGCAAGGCUAGAAUCUGGCAGAGGGGGGUAGAAUUCCACGUGUAGCAGUGAAAUGCGUAGAUAUGUGGAGGAACACCGAUGGCGAAGGCAGCCCCCUGGGUCAAGAUUGACGCUCAUGCACGAAAGCGUGGGGAGCAAACAGGAUUAGAUACCCGUGUAGUCCCA